ensembl:lncRNA
GAGAAGAGAGGAGAGAGUGAGGGGCAUCUCUCUUUUGUAAUUAUGGAGGUUAAUAAUGUCCUGAGGAUAUCUGGGAACUUAAUCAGAGAUAAAGUUAUCGGGCACAUAAUUUGGGUGUUGCAACUGGAAGAAGUUUUGCGUGUGUGUGUGUGUGCACGUGUGCACAUGCACGCAUGCUCCAAACAGGGCAAAGCAUAUCUUCAUGCUACUUCUGGCAAUAAAUUCUAGGCAUUUCAGGAGCAUAGGUUGUAAGAGAAGAUUAAGUGUUGGUCUGCUUAAGUUGGGAUAACACUGGCAUUUAAUUAAAUCAAGUGAUAGUCCCUAGCAGAUUAGGGUGGUAAAGAGGAAUAGAAAACCAUACUAGGGAGUUAUUAAAUCUUUUAACUUUCUUUUAUCUUGUAUCUGAAGAUGGGUGCAAAUUUUUUAAAUGAUUAUAUGUCAAAAAGAAGUUUUGGAAUUUCACUUCAAUGCAAUUUGCUGACAGACACACAUUUGUAUUCAACAAAACUCUUGGAAUGCCUACCAGUAGGAAGAGAACAAAAAUGCUGUUCUCCAUUAUACAGCUUCUGUUAUGACACUCUCGAGAAUAGUUUUUAACUCUGUCAUAGGGAAUCAUUUUAAAUUUUGAAUUUGGCUUAUGUGAAUCUAGGUUAAUCUUAUCCAAUUUUUUUUUUCAUUUGACACAGUUAUAGUAAGAUUCAAUAGUGAUUAUCAAAAUAAGAGUAACUUAAAAAGUUAGCAGGUGAUUUCCUUCCCAAUGUAAAAAAUUUUAGGUAAAUAGUUAAGUCAUGCUUGCUUUGCUUCACAAAGAUUUACUCAAAGCUUCUUCUAGCUUAUUGUUUUUCUGUGAUAUCCUCCCUUUCCAAGGUCACCUCAUGGUUCAAAAUAGCUUCUUUUCCUUUAGCCAUCAUGUUCACAUUCUAUCUAGCAAGAAAGAGAGAAGGACAGAGAAGAAAUGAGAGAAGACCAUAUACCAGCAGCCUUUUAAGGAAAGUUUUUGGAAAGUGCUUUAAGAAACUACUGCUUUAUAUAUUGUUGACCUGAAGAACCAGGUCACUUGGCUACAUCUAUUUGUAAAGCAGUCUUUGUUUCGGGUGGUCAAAUGCCCAUUAAAAAAUGUUUUCUUCAACUCUGAGAGAAGGACAGAGUAAUUUUUGGAGAACAGUUAGCAUUCUUAGGCAUGGAUGUUUAUAGACUCACAAAUAUUCUGGUUGACCUUUUAUAGGUGAAUUUAUGUUUUAAUUGCCUAUUUGCCCAACUACUGAACAGUAAUCUGGAGUGAAUACAGAGGGAAUUUACAUGCCUUGAUAUUUAACACAGCCUAAGAUAAUAGCUGCUUAAAAUCAAUACUUUCACCAUGAGUUACAGUUAAGGGUAAGUAAAAAGUUGUUCUCUGUCACUCUGGCCUCCCAAUUUUGUCAAGUCCAGGAAGUCCAGGAUGAUUUUGUCACUUAGCAAUUUUUCAGAUGUUCUCUGCAGCCAUUGGAAUUGAUUUUCUUAAGAUUCCCUGGGAAACUAAUGAAGGACGAUGCUUUUUGUUUUCUUCCUACUUGGUUUCUUUAAGGUGGAUAUUUGACCACCAUCAUAAUUACUUGCUAUGUUAGGCACUUUAUACCCAUUAUAUCUUUUAAUACUUUCAACAGUCCUGUAAGGUAGGUAUUUGCGUCCUUGUUAGAGUUGUGCAUACCUAUGUCUAGAGAUUUGAAAAAUUUACUCCAAAGCUCAAGAAUGGUUAGCGGAGUUGGGAUCCAAAUUCAACUCAAAAUCUGUGUUUUUAAUCACGAUGCGGUAUUUAGUCUUUUGACCUCUUUUCUUAAAAUAAACUUUAGUUUAAAAAGAGAAAUAGGAGUUCCCGUCAUGGCGCAGUGGUUAAUGAAUUUGACUAGGAACCGUGAGGUUACGGGUUCGAUCCCUGGCCUUGCUCAGUGGGUUAAGGAUCUGGCAUUGCCGUGAGCUGUGGUGUAGGUUGCAGAUGCGGCUCCGAUCCCAAGUUGCUGUGGCUCUGGCGUAGGCCGGCGGCUACGGCUCCAAUUCGACCCUGGGCCUAGGAACCUCCAUAUGCCACGGGAGCAGCCCUAGAAAAGGCAAAAAGCCAAAAAAAAAAAAAAAAAAAAAA